CAGUAGCAAAAUUUUCUCCGUCUCUAUAUGCACGAUUGUACGUCGACAGUAAUACGAUGUACCGUAGUGUAGACAUAACUUGAUUGCCACAGUCCAUGUAUACACUCGAGCGGUGUGUCUCUUCUUAUCGUUCAGCAUCAGAAUUGACACUUUCUGCGACGAUUUCUUAAUUUUACGUGUCCAAGAACGUUGUUUUCAGUUCUAAGAGUAAUUCUCGAUGACCUGUGUCCACGCAGAACAUGCAACGGAAAUGCACUUGAAUGAGAAGGCGAUGACUCCCAGCUUUCAAGGGCCUUGCAAGAGAAAUGGACCUUGCACUUCACAGCAAAGAAGAACCGGGAGAGGGGAAUGCAGCAGAUAUCCCACGCCAGCUUUUUGCGCUCCGCUUAACUUAUACUCAGUGGAAUAAGCUAUGUAGGUAAAAUCACGAUUUCUAUACCUAAACGCCCUUUUUGCGCGACUUCCAUUUUAUUCUCAACUGGACUUCAAUGUUUUCCGCUACUUCUUUUGCAGCGAAGUAAAACUUGGUUUGUACGGUAAAAAUAGAUGAUUGUAUUAAAUCUCUUAAUUGUUUUCAACAAAUUUCUGUUGCAACAGUAGUUGUGUGAAUGUAAAAUACGCAUUUUAAUUUGAAUAUUGCAAAAUAUAUUAAUACUUUAUUUGUG